CUAAACGUUUCCAAGCUUGCUUGCCACAUCAGCAAACGACGCCAUUGCAUCAUCUAAAGAUAUUUCCCGCAUACGGCCAAAAGGUGUAUCUACAUAUUUAUUGAGAUUUAAAGGAUUAUAAAUUCGUUUAGUUAUUCUCGUAACCUAGAAGGAAUUAUGCUCUGAUGAAUUUCUAGAAGUUUCGAAACAUUCCAAUAUGUCGAGAAUGGGUGAUAAAUCAAUAGAAACCGUUAACAUCAUAUCGAAGCAACUAUGAAAACAUUCAUCGCAUGUAGAUGUAUAUACAUUACGGUUUACUGACGACAAAUGUGAUGUGACCAGUCACAAGUCAGUUGUGUUGUCAACAAAGAAACAAGGAACACAAGUAGUUUAUUCUUUCGUUCCGGUCAAUAAACAAUCUUUGAUUUGUGGAAGUUAAAAUUUUCGAGAGUGGCCGCAAUGAAGGUUCGUUUACUCCAAUACCAAUGAAACAAAUAAUUCCCAACAAAUUUGUCAGACGGCACAGAAGCAGCAUCGACUAUGUGAAACGAAUAUGAAAACUGAUUUGCAUCUUCUAUUGUUUUGUUGCACGUGCGCAAGAGUAAUCGAGCAGGAAGUGUACAUCGAUCGUAUUCUUGACCUGUAUUAUCUUACAAAUCCAAUUUAUUUCGGCAACUGCAUGAAAUUAUUCAUGUAGUUGUUAUGUAAAAACAUAUAUAAUAAGAAGAUAGUUUAUCAUUCAAUUGAUGAAUAAAAUACGAACAUAUAUAUAUAUAUUUUUUUUCAUACAGUCAAAAGAUCAUGAAAGUAUUAUUUCUUUUCUAUACUUAUGGACGUAGAUUGGGCACACGAUUCAGUACGUCUCGGGCUAUAGACGAUGUACUUAAACCGUAAACGAUAGAGGACAGAUACUGAAUAAGUGUCGAAGAAGAAAUAGAAAAGAAGAGGCGUAAAAAAUAUUUCUGGUCAAGGAACUUUUACUAUUUCUUUCUUUUCUGUGACAUAUGUAUUGCGAAGCGAUGGGUAUGUCCACGCGUUCUCAAUUGCUUACAUCGUUGCCACGUCCACAUUACAAUAUGAGCCCAAAUUGCAAAAUUGAAAACUAGAUAUGUAUUUAAAAUAGCUUUUGUUACCAAUUUUACUAUUUUAAAUGUAUUUAAUCUAUGUGAAUUAAAAUAUGCUAUUAGUAUAGUUGAGUAAGUUGGUAAAAAAUGUAAAUGAUUUUAUUUUAUAAUUUUUAUUUUAAACCUGAAGAGUUGUUACAGGUAGAGAUAUCACUGUUUACGCUUAAACGUACCGAGGAAUCAUAUAACAGGCUCAAGUUUAUGCAGCUAUACAUAUAUGCCAAUGAAUAACCUUGGAGCUUCAAUCAACUUGCUUACUGCUACAAAGCAAGAAAUUCAAUAAUUUUCAAAAACGAAUACCAUCGACUAAAAACCGCCAAGUUUUGAUAACGCGAUAGCAUAAUUUAUAUAAUAUUCAAAACUCGCACCAUGAAUACAUAUGAAUCAUGUAUUUUAGAUAAUAAUGAUGUAUAUGACGCGUAACCGUAUAUAGAUAGGAAAACAUUCACUAUUCUGCGCCAUGAGCGAUCAGUUCAAAUCUACGGAAACUCGUGGGUGGAUGGUUAUAUACGCUAAACAGAUUGCCGGUUUAUUUAAACGACGGUGUGUAACGAAAUACGAUGAUGUGCUUGGGAUGAUUCCAAUUUAGCAACCUAGUUUUUUCCCUCGUGUAUCCAAGUGGCGCGCUUUUUUUUUGAGAAAUAAACUGGGUCACACGAUGGCAGCGAAGUGUGCGUAUACACGUGUCCACCGACUAAAAGAGUCGGACGAGUGGACAAGCACGAAAGCAACGUGCUAGAAUAUAAGUUGCAAAGGUGGCGGAUGUAGACGCAUACAAGCAGUGGUAGAGAGGUAUAACGACCUUUGCGGCUCACAGUGAACGUGCGGAAAUCAUUUGUAUAAAAUUUCUAAUCGCAAAGUUCGCGCUAUUGUUAGUCGGUACGCGACGCACGAUCAGGAAAUAAAAUGGCAACAGGAGGAGCGUGAGAACUCACGUAGAGAGAAACGAUUUGUAGGUGGAAAGAACUCCCACAACGUUUCAGCAAUUACAUAUCUCGGAUAAGUUGCAUAGUUGCAUGCAUGUUUCAUGUUGUUUAAUAACAAAGAAUAACGAGUGUUUUAUAAGUCUAUUUCUUAUUUUAUUACUUUUUUAAUUAUUCUGGAAUUAUUUUUAAAGUCUUCUGUGUCCUACACCGAUUAUUAUUAUCGGCACAAUCAAACCGGAAACUCGACUAACGAUUAAUUUCACCGAACUGCUGAUACGACACUAGCAAGAACGAGCAUGUCGAGGCUAGAGGACCAUAAAAGCAAAGUGGAAGAAGGGUACGUUUAGUAAGGGAGUAAUUAGCGAGUCCCUAGGCAGGUACUCGUGCAAUUUACUGUGGAAAUUCUACGGCUUGUUAAAUGAUGUAGUAGACAGGCUUCAGGAUAUUUUUGUAAAUAUUUCAAGAGUAACAGAAAACUCGUAGAAACAUGAUAUGAUUUAUGACUCUUAAUUUAGAAACUUUUAAGUUAUUAUUCAAGGACCCCAGCUGUCAUAGAUUAAGAGACAAUUUUGAGGAGAAAGUUACUUAAGUUUUUAUAAAAUUCUAUGUUAUUAAGAUAGACAUUACGAAGAUAAGAUAACAUUCAAAAUGUCGCGAAGAUAUCACAAACAAUAGUAUCUUUUUUAGAUAGAAACGAUACGCAUCCCGAUAGCUCGUGACCCAUAGUACGGACGAAACGGACGAAUAAAGAGAACUUGAACGACAUAGCUGUUCAUUCAGACUAUAUGUAUCUUGGGAUACGUUGUACUUCGUAUUCGUACGUCCCUGAUCGUUCCGAUCUAUAUCUACCAAUCCUAAAAAUAUUUAUAAACGGUAAAAUAUAAUACGAGCAAUAAGGUACUGUUAUUGAGUGCCGAACGACUGUCCAUUUUAGUACAUUUAUUUGACUUUCCAAUUAUGCAUAUAUUUGCAGUCAGAUGAAUAAUUCACCUUUUAAAAAUAUCAAAAUCGCGGUAGACUGGUAAAGGCCAAGGGAAGAAAGGCAACGAAGGACAGAAACGACUAAAGGAAGCUUCGGAACGAGCCUGCGCCGUCUAACCGACACGUAUAAAUAAAGAGUUGGAUACCUGCGAUGUUGCCAGAUCUCAGUAAUAUUGAUCCACGAACCCGACACAGCCGUCAGCCGGGGGUCAUACAGAGACACGUGGCAACAUUGGCCUGUUCCCAGCUGAUCGAGCUCUACUCACGUCUGCUCGACGGUCGACCGUGUCUCUCCGUUCCUUGGAGUUCUCUCGCUUCCGCACGAGACCUCCCUCUUUCUCUCAUAACUAGCAACCGGCCACUUAUCGCCUUGCCUCAAAUCACAAGCCUUUCCUUUCUUACAUCGCUGCACUCAACCAUUCCACUUUAACUCGAAUAUGAAGCGAAUGCUUCCUUCCACUUGUUAACUAUACACGGUUGCGAGCGAUAUUAUGCAAUAAAGAAAAGCGUUACGCGCCAAACGGACAAGUACACGUCGUGUUUGUUCGCAAGAAUAAAACAUAGGAGAACCUCUAA